rnacentral:tRNA from 6 species
GCGGACGUGGCGAAAUUGGCAGACGCACUAGACUUAGGAUCUAGCGCCGCAAGGCAUGUGGGUUCAAGUCCCUCCGUCCGCACCA